AAGGGCACUUGGGUUUCAACUCGCUUAAAACCCGACGAGAGUGCGACCAAAUUGGUACAAUUUGCAAGAUUCUUAGGGGUGUGAUUGACUGCUCUGAGCUGCACAACAAGCUCUGCUCCGUUUAUGCACCCACUGAUUACAGCUACCUCCGCCGCCGCCGCAAGUUUUUCGUGAGUCCGUUUAGUCGCACGGUCGCGCGCGCCAGGUCUCCCAUACCGCGCACUUUGGCAGCGCUGAACGCGCUGCUGAAGGAGUCCCCUCGCUGUGACAUAUUUGCUGACAAAUGGGCUGACCUCAUAGGUCAGAUCCUGCACUUUUGUGAAAAUUUUUAUUUUUGCUUUUUAAACUA